rnacentral:rRNA from 1 species
UGGGGAAUAUUUGACAAUGGGCGAAAGCCUGAUCCAGCCAUGCCGCGUGUGUGAAGAAGGUCUUCGGAUUGUAAAGCACUUUAAGUUGGGAGGAAGGGCAGUAAGCGAAUACCUUGCUGUUUUGACGUUACCGACAGAAUAAGCACCGGCUAACUCUGUGCCAGCAGCCGCGGUAAUACAGAGGGUGCAAGCGUUAAUCGGAAUUACUGGGCGUAAAGCGCGCGUAGGUGGUUCGUUAAGUUGAAUGUGAAAGCCCCGGGCUCAACCUGGGAACUGCAUCCGAAACUGGCGAGCUAGAGUAGGGCAGAGGGUGGUGGAAUUUCCUGUGUAGCGGUGAAAUGCGUAGAUAUAGGAAGGAACACCAGUGGCGAAGGCGACCACCUGGGCUCAUACUGACACUGAGGUGCGAAAGCGUGGGGAGCAAACAGG